GACGUAGGGGCGCGAGCGUUGUCCGGAUUUAUUGGGCGUAAAGCGCACGUAGGCGGAUUUGUAAGUCAGGGGUGAAAUCCUGGAGCUCAACUCCAGAACUGCCUUCGAUACGUGUAGAGCUUGAGUUCGGGAGAGGUGAGUGGAACUGCGAGUGUAGAGGUGAAAUUCGUAGAUAUUCGCAAGAACACCAGUGGCGAAGGCGGCAUCCUGGACCGGUAUUGACGCUGAGGCGCGAAAGCUAGGGGAGCAAACGGG
rnacentral:rRNA from 1 species